rnacentral:rRNA from 1 species
UACAGAGGUCUCAAGCGUUGUUCGGAUUCAUUGGGCGUAAAGGGUGUGUAGGUGGCGCCGUAAGUCGGGUGUGAAAUCUCGGGGCUUAACUCCGAAACUGCAUUCGAUACUGCCGUGCUUGAGGACUGGAGAGGAGACUGGAAUUUACGGUGUAGCGGUGAAAUGCGUAGAUAUCGUAAGGAAGACCAGUGGCGAAGGCGGGUCUCUGGACAGUUCCUGACGCUGAGGCACGAAGGCCAGGGGAGCAAACGGGG